GGCCCUUCGGGGUACUCGAGCGGCGAACGGGUGAGUAACACGUGAGCAACCUGCCCCCGACUCUGGGAUAAGCCCGGGAAACUGGGUCUAAUACCGGAUACGACACACACUCGCAUGGGUCGUGUGUGGAAAGUUUUUCGGUCGGGGAUGGGCUCGCGGCCUAUCAGCUUGUUGGUGGGGUAGUGGCCCACCAAGGCGACGACGGGUAGCCGGCCUGAGAGGGCGACCGGCCACACUGGGACUGAGACACGGCCCAGACUCCUACGGGAGGCAGCAGUGGGGAAUAUUGCACAAUGGGGGAAACCCUGAUGCAGCGACGCCGCGUGCGGGAUGACGGCCUUCGGGUUGUAAACCGCUUUCAGCAGGGACGAAGAUGACGGUACCUGCAGAAGAAGCGCCGGCUAACUACGUGCCAGCAGCCGCGGUAAUACGUAGGGCGCAAGCGUUGUCCGGAAUUAUUGGGCGUAAAGAGCUCGUAGGCGGUCUGUCGCGUCGGAUGUGAAAGCUCGAGGCUUAACCUCGGGUCUGCAUCCGAUACGGGCAGACUAGAGGCAGGUAGGGGAGAACGGAAUUCCCGGUGUAGCGGUGAAAUGCGCAGAUAUCGGGAGGAACACCGGUGGCGAAGGCGGUUCUCUGGGCCUGUACUGACGCUGAGGAGCGAAAGCGUGGGGAGCGAACAGGAUUAGAUACCCUGGUAGUCCACGCCGUAAACGUUGGGCGCUAGGUGUGGGGACCUUCCACGGUUUCCGCG
rnacentral:rRNA from 1 species